rnacentral:rRNA from 1 species
UACGACUACAUAUCAGGCAUAUCAAUAAGCGGAGGAAAAGAAACUAACAAGGAUUCCCUUAGUAACGGCGAGUGAAGCGGGAAGAGCUCAAAUUUGAAAUCUUCAAGGUUCUACCUUGACGAAUUGUAGUUUAAAGAAGUGUUUUCUGUUAGAUGAGUAGCAAAAGUUCCUUGGAAUGGGACAUCAUAGAGGGUGAGAAUCCCGUAUUUGGUUAUUCAUUCUAGCUUUGUGAUACACUUUCAAAGAGUCGGAUUGUUUGGGAAUGCAGUCCAAAAUGGGUGGUAAAUUUCAUCUAAAGCUAAAUAUUGGCGAGAGACCGAUAGCGAACAAGUACCGUGAGGGAAAGAUGAAAAGAACUUUGAAAGAGAGUUAAACAGUACGUGAAAUUGUCAAAAGGGAAGCGUUUGACACCAGUGUUGUUUAGUUGAAAAUCAAUUCAAUAGUUUUUGAUUCUAAGUAGUAUUGACUUCAUCAGCUUGCUGCUUUCUUCUCAGAAAUUAUUGAAUGCACUUUUCAGUUAACAAGUCAACAUCAAUUUCUUUUGUUGUAAAAGGGUAAGAGGAAGGUGGCUUGCGCUUCGGCUCAAGUGUUUAUAGCCUUUUAUCUCUGCAAUCGGAGAGAUUGAGGUCUGCAGCGUAGAUCCUUCGGGGUUAGAUACAUUGGUGCUAAGCUAUAGCCUUGUAUAGACAACUUGUUGACUAUGCUCAGUCAUGUAGCUUACUCGCUGAUGCUAUUUUACCUACGCUUAGGAUGUUGAGUAGCGACAUACGCAC